CGCGGGGUAGAGCAGCCUGGUAGCUCGUCGGGCUCAUAACCCGGAGGCCGCAAGUUCAAAUCUUGCCCCCGCAACCA
rnacentral:tRNA from 2 species